UACGUAGGGGGCAAGCGUUGUCCGGAUUUAUUGGGCGUAAAGAGCGUGUAGGCGGCCUGGAAGGUCAGCUGUGAAAACUCGAGGCUCAACCUCGAGACGUCGGUUGAAACCACCUGGCUAGAGUCCGGAAGAGGAGAGUGGAAUUCCCGGUGUAGCGGUGAAAUGCGCAGAUAUCGGGAAGAACACCCGUGGCGAAGGCGGCUCUCUGGGACGGUACUGACGCUGAGGAGCGAAAGCGUGGGGAGCGAACGAGG
rnacentral:rRNA from 1 species